rnacentral:rRNA from 1 species
UACGAAGGGGGGCUAGCGUUGCUCGGAAUCACUGGGCGUAAAGGGUGCGUAGGCGGGUUAUUAAGUCAGAGGUGAAAUCCUGGAGCUCAACUCCAGAACUGCCUUUGAUACUGAUAGUCUUGAGUAUGGGAGAGGUGAGUGGAACUGCGAGUGUAGAGGUGAAAUUCGUAGAUAUUCGCAAGAACACCAGUGGCGAAGGCGGCUCACUGGCCCGAUACUGACGCUGAGGCAC